rnacentral:rRNA from 1 species
AUUGAACGCUGGCGGCAUGCCUUACACAUGCAAGUCGAACGGUAACAGGUUAAGCUGACGAGUGGCGAACGGGUGAGUAAUGUAUCGGGACGUGCCCAGUCGUGGGGGAUAACUGCUCGAAAGAGCAGCUAAUACCGCAUACGACCUGAGGGUGAAAGCGGGGGAUCGCAAGACCUCGCGCGAUUGGAGCGGCCGAUAUCAGAUUAGGUAGUUGGUGAGGUAAAGGCUCACCAAGCCGACGAUCUGUAGCUGGUCUGAGAGGACGACCAGCCACACUGGGACUGAGACACGGCCCAGACUCCUACGGGAGGAAGAGGUGGGGAAUUUUGGACAAUGGGCGCAAGCCUGAUCCAGCCAUGCCGCGUGCGGGAAGAAGGUCUUCGGGUUGUAAACCGCUUUUGUCAGGGAAGAAAAGGUUCUGGCUAAUACCUGGGACUCAUGACGGUACCUGAAGCAUAAGCACCGGCUAACUACGUGCCAGCCGCCGCCGUAAGAC